rnacentral:misc_RNA from 1 species
UUGAUGCUCUUACAUUUUCUUUAAUAACUAUUUUAUAAUGCUAUCAUCAAGAAAUUCAGUCUUUAAACCAUCUCUUGACCUCAUUACUGAGGAGUUAUCUUUGAACAGUGACAAUCAUAUUGAUAAACUUGUAUCAGAGGAAUAUGCUGUUAUUACAAACGAUGAUAUAACGAAUGCAUUGGACAAUAAAAACACACUUAUCAGUGAUUCUGAGGAUGCAUCAAUAAGUGAUUUUUUUAAAAUGCAUAAUCGAAUAAAAGCAAAAAGUUUUACGCCCUUGAAUACUGAGUUAUCUUCUUCACCAACUUCAGAAAAUUCAGAAAAUUCUUUUAAUAACAUCCCACCAUUUAAACCCAAAAGUUCUGAAAUCAAUGUGGAUGCAAGUUUAAAUGAAAUUAUAAGCCAGUCAUCUGAAAAUCAAGAAUCUCCUAGUGAACAGGUCUUUGUCAGUGACUUUAACCCAACAGUAUUUUCAGAUUUGAAUGGAAUUGCUAUUGACUCAAACAUUGGGAAAAAAUAUUUCACAAAAGCUAUUAAAGGAAAAUACAUGAAUGUUUAUUAUUCUUACACAAAAGAAUUUAUUUUGAAUAGAUCUGAUUUUUACUUUCAAAAUCUUUCAAUGAUGCUUAAAAUAUUAGAUUGUGAUUUAUCUUUAACUGGUUUUGAAAAGAGUUCUCAAAAUCUAUUGGAAUUACUAUUUGUUAUGCUUUUGCAAUUAGUGGUUGAAGUCACUCAAGUUCACAUAUUUUCUUCUGUUGAGUCUUUUAGUGUCUUCAUCAAGACAUCCAUGAAUUAUUUUGAAGGAGUGAAAUAAAAAGCUGCUGUCGAUUUAAAAAUUCUGUGAUGUUUUGCUACUCAAAUAUAAAUCCAUGCACAGUUUUGAUUGUUAUUGGUUACUUUAAAGAACAUGAUUGUGUUUUGUUGUUAUAUGAUAAACAGUUAGUUUGGGUAUACCUUUACCAACUUUGGGAAAUGCUACAAAAUAAAUUUGACGGAACAGCUGGUUACAUCAUUAUGCGUAGACCUGAAUCAGAAUUAAUUCAAACUCAAAUAAAAUUGACAAUUUCUAAAGAUAUCUAUUUGGUUACAGAUAAGCGUUAUUUGCUUGAUAAGUACGCAGCUAGCUUUGUUAGUGCAAUGGAUUCUUGGAGUUUAUGGUUGAAUCAUCCCUUAGUGAAUUCAGACGGCUCACCGACUGAAAUAGAGAAGAAUGUUGUAUGUGAUGGGUCAUUAUUUUUAAUUCAACUUGUAAAGGAAUAUGCCACUACUCAUCUGGAUUGUACUAACCAUAAAAGUGAUUUUUUAUUAUCAAGCAACAAGCUUUUGUCAAUUGUAAUGAAUACUGACAUAUUCAGACUUAUUAAAUUCAGCACUGACAUUAUGUCAAAAGAAGAUCAAAAAUUACUAAGUUGUUUUUGCAGCCACCUAAUGAAUUUGUUUCAAUAUUCAAAAAACCCAAUAAAAAAAAGUUUAGAGCGCCGCAGCUCUUUUAGGAAAAAAAAAUCUUCGAAUCUGAAUGGGGUGUUGACAUUUGACGUUAUUUUAUCCUGUGUAAUACUGUUUUGGCCCAAUUACACUGAAAAUAAAGGUACAAAUGGUGAAACUCUCUCUCAAGCUAUUCAACAUGAACUUGGAAAUUUUGAAAAAAGUACAAUAACUGCAUUGCAAUAUCAAAUAAGUAUAUUUUUAAAAUACAUGAAAUUGCUUUAUAUUUCUGAGAGUACAUGAUCUUGAACAUUGUAAGAAAUAUGUUAUAUGUAUUAAAAAUUUCAAAUGGUACUUAA